GACGAACGCUGGCGGCGUGCUUAACACAUGCAAGUCGAACGGAAAGGCCCUGCUUUUGUGGGGUGCUCGAGUGGCGAACGGGUGAGUAACACGUGAGUAACCUGCCCUUGACUUUGGGAUAACUUCAGGAAACUGGGGCUAAUACCGGAUAGGAGCUCCUGCUGCAUGGUGGGGGUUGGAAAGUUUCGGCGGUUGGGGAUGGACUCGCGGCUUAUCAGCUUGUUGGUGGGGUAGUGGCUUACCAAGGCUUUGACGGGUAGCCGGCCUGAGAGGGUGACCGGCCACAUUGGGACUGAGAUACGGCCCAGACUCCUACGGGAGGCAGCAGUGGGGAAUAUUGCACAAUGGGCGGAAGCCUGAUGCAGCAACGCCGCGUGCGGGAUGACGGCCUUCGGGUUGUAAACCGCUUUCGCAUGUGACGAAGCGUGAGUGACGGUAAUGGGUAAAGAAGCACCGGCUAACUACGU
rnacentral:rRNA from 1 species